rnacentral:rRNA from 1 species
UACGUAGGGGCAAGCGUUGUCCGGAAUUAUUGGGCGUAAAGAGCGCGUAGGCGGUCCGAUAAGUCGGCUGUGAAAGUCAUGGGCUCAACCCAUGAAAGCCGGCCGAUACUGUCGGACUAGAGUCCGGAAGAGGCGAGUGGAAUUCCCGGUGUAGCGGUGAAAUGCGCAGAUAUCAGGAGGAACACCGGUGGCGAAGGCGGGUCUCUGGGCCGAUACUGACACUGAGGAGCGAAAGCGUGGGGAGCGAACAGG